UACGUAGGGGGCAAGCGUUGUCCGGAAUCAUUGGGCGUAAAGCGCGCGUAGGCGGCCCUGUAAGUCCGUUGUGAAAGUCGAAGGCUCAACCUUCGAAAGCCGAUGGAUACUGCAGGGCUAGAGUCCGGAAGAGGAGAGCGGAAUUCCCGGUGUAGUGGUGGAAUGCGUAGAGAUCGGGAGGAACACCAGUGGCGAAAGCGGCUCUCUGGUCCAAAACUGACGCUGAGGGGCGAAAGCGUGGGGAGCGAACGGG
rnacentral:rRNA from 1 species